rnacentral:misc_RNA from 1 species
GAUGAAGAACGUAGCGAAAUGCGAUAAGUAAUGUGAAUUGCAGAAUUCAGUGAAUCAUCGAAUCUUUGAACGCACAUUGCGCCCGGCAGCAAUCUGCCGGGCAUGCCUGUCCGAGCGUCAUUACAACCCUCAAGCUCAGCUUGGUGUUGGGCCCCGCCGCCCCGGCGGGCCCUAAAGUCAGUGGCGGUGCCGUCCGGCUCCGAGCGUAGUAAUUCUUCUCGCUCUGGAGGUCCGGUCGUGUGCUCGCCAGCAACCCCCAAUUUUUUUCAGGUUGACCUCGGAUCAGGUAGGGAUACCCGCUGAACUUAAGCAUAUCAAUAAGCGGAGGA